rnacentral:rRNA from 1 species
AACGAACGCUGGCGGCAGGCUUAACACAUGCAAGUCGAACGCAUCGCAAGAUGAGUGGCAGACGGGUGAGUAACGCGUGGGAACAUACCCUUUUCUACGGAAUAGCUCUGGGAAACUGGAAUUAAUACCGUAUACGCCCUACGGGGGAAAGAUUUAUCGGGGAAGGAUUGGCCCGCGUUGGAUUAGCUAGUUGGUGGGGUAAAGGCCUACCAAGGCGACGAUCCAUAGCUGGUCUGGGAGGAUGAUCAGCCACAUUGGGACUGAGACACGGCCCAAACUCCUACGGGAGGCAGCAGUGGUGAAUAUUGGACAAUGGGCGCAAGCCUGAUCCAGCCAUGCCGCGUGAGUGAUGAAGGCCUUAGGGUUGUAAAGCUCUUUCACCGAUGAAGAUAAUGACGGUAGUCGGAGAAGAAGCCCCGGCUAACUUCGUGCCAGCAGCCGCCGUAAAAC